GGAAGAAGAGCUCGAGAACGAUCGGUGGGAAGGGGAGAUGGGGUGCUUUCUGUGCGCCGGAGAGCCGAACAAGAAGGGCAAGGAGAAGGAUCAGAUCCCACCGGCUUCAGGUGCUUGGAAUCCAUAGCAAAUUUGUCUUUUAUUUUUUUCGUUUCAUUUGCUUCAUUGGUUGUUUUUAUAUCGGUCGAGUCGGCUUGGCAUGGCAGCUUCUUCCAAUUUUUGUGUUCUCGGAUAUGGAUUUUGGGUCGGAUGGCUCCGGAUUCCAGUUGAAAGUUAGGGUUUGCCGAGGGGUGUCACUCGAUCUGUAGGUGUUCUUUUUUUAGGACUUCAUGAAUUUUUUCUCUGAAGAUUGGAUGUUGAGUUGGGGUUUGGCGUUUCGAGGGAACUCCUUCAUCUAUGUGAUGGUUUUGAUUGACUCGAUGAGCGUAAAGGUGAUGACUUUGAUAAGGCUUGAGCGGAGACGAUUGCUCCAAUUGUCUAUAUAAAUAUUUGGUUUUUCUUAUAACCAUUCGCUUGGAAAUAGAUUUCCUGUUGCUUCUAUAGGAUGAGCUUUUCUUUUUCUGUUGGUCGAUGAUUAGCUCGUUUAAACUGGGGUG
rnacentral:lncRNA from 1 species